GAUGAACGCUGGCGGCGUGCCUAAUACAUGCAAGUCGAGCGAACAGACGAGGAGCUUGCUCCUCUGACGUUAGCGGCGGACGGGUGAGUAACACGUGGAUAACCUACCUAUAAGACUGGGAUAACUUCGGGAAACCGGAGCUAAUACCGGAUAAUAUAUUGAAUCGCAUGGUUCAAUAGUGAAAGACGGUUUUGCUGUCACUUAUAGAUGGAUCCGCGCCGCAUUAGCUAGUUGGUAAGGUAACGGCUUACCAAGGCAACGAUGCGUAGCCGACCUGAGAGGGUGAUCGGCCACACUGGAACUGAGACACGGUCCAGACCCCUACGGGAGGCAGCAGUAGGGAAUCUUCCGCAAUGGGCGAAAGCCUGACGGAGCAACGCCGCGUGAGUGAUGAAGGUCUUCGGAUCGUAAAACUCUGUUAUUAGGGAAGAACAAAUGUGUAAGUAACUAUGCACGUCUUGACGGUACCUAAUCAGAAAGCCACGGCUAACUACGUG
rnacentral:rRNA from 1 species